CCGCCCCCUCCUCCCUCACGUGUCCCCCCGCCGCCAACCAGCGGCCGCCCGCAGCCCUCCGCGCCCCAGGCCGCGUGAGGCGGCAGGUUCGCAUCUGCUGGCGGCGCCGGCCGGCCGGAGGGGCGCGGGGACGCGGCUGCGAGAGAAGAAAUACUAUUUUUUGCAUACCUUGGUACCCUAUAGAGGCACAGGAAACCACCAAUGACAUACGCCUACCUUUGAUGUAACCACAUCUAAAAUAUUGUUGGUUUGUGACACAGGACAGAGUGACUUUUGAAAGAUGGAUUCAUGCUCCACGUAGUAGCACUCAGCAGCAUUGCUCAACCUAGGAGGCAGGAAGGAGAAACUUGUUCAGAGUGAGCAAGCUUCAGUCUCCAAGGAAGCAACUUCCUGGGGGAACAACUUCCUACUGAUGUUGAAGACAAGAGGUUCCACUACUACCACUUCUUGUGACAGUACAGCCCCAAGGCUGACAUCAGAUGCAUCCAUUAAGUGUGGAAAGACUUAUGGAAGUGAUAACUUCUUUAGAAGAGUACACUCUGAGGACUACAAGAAACAAGCACCAAUGUAUUUUCACUCUUGGAACUCUCAAGUUGAACACUGCGAGCUGGCUCCUUCAGUAUGGUGUAGCGGCGUUGCACUAUCUUGCUCGUGUUUUUUUGGCUACAAAACCUGCGCAAAAGGCCCCUGGAGGAUGCAAGUUUAACCCUGCAAUGGCAUACAGCUGACAGGGGCUCAUACGUAACACCUCUUUCUUGUUGCUGGUGAGCAGGAAAAGGGGAUGUGGUUACUGAAAAGGAGGAGUGAUGAAGACACACCUACACAACACCGAUCUUGAAUUAGAGGUUUAACCUUUUGCAGCUUCUACAGAUUGGUGUAAAUUAGAACAACCAUCAGAAUGCUCUAAUGCUGUAGGGGAGGGGGAUAUAAGCAUGAAAGGGGGUCAAUUUAUGAAUUUGUCAGGGUGCUGAAAUCUGACAACCUAAGUUUGUCAAUAUAUAAUAGAAUCCGGUAGGAUAACCCCGUUUUAUUGAGCCAAAGAGGUUUUAGCUUACUAUUUUUAACUCUGGUUUCUUUUCAGGUCAACUUUUAACUUGAAUAGUAUUUUUCAAGUCAGAACUCCUGCUUAUUCUUAACUAACCAACAAUUUAUUAAUUCAUCCAGAACCACAUUAAUAUACAAUCAACAGUUCACCACUCAAAUGUAGACACAACCAAUUGUGUGUACCACACACACAAUACAGUCUUGCUAGCAAUCAUCAUAGACUAGAGCUGAGGCUCAGCGGUUGUAUCCAGGAAUAAUACAAUUUACCAAGAUUUCUUAUUACAUUUACUUAUGAUAAUAAAUUCUCAAUUCCUAACACAUUUAUCACAUUUCCAAGGAUCCACUGAUCUUGAAGGCAUCUUUUAAGAGUGUGGUACUCCUCUUUGACUGGAUUGGCGCAGAAGAGAACGGUUUAGAAUAUUAAAAGUAGGGCUGUCAAUCGCAAUUAACACACGCAAUUAACUCAAAAAAUGAAUCAUGAUUAAAAAAAUUAAUCAUGAUUAAUCAUAGUUUUAAUAGCACUG